GGUAGUAAAAGAGGAGGCAACGUCCCAAACUCAGCUGCAAACUCAGCAGCGUGUUCGAAAUAAAGUUUGCAGCUGAGUUUGAGACGUUGCCUCCUCUUUUAUUACCU
rnacentral:pre_miRNA from 1 species